CCAUUAAGGUACAGUAUUCGACAAUCGAUUGAUUCGACAAGAGUUGAUUUUUCCUUCAGAUUUUAGUUCAAUUCAAUUAUAAAGAAUGAAUUGAAUAGACACAUUAACGAUCGAUUUAUUCAACAAAUCUUUAAUGAUAGAUACGAUCGAUAACGAUUGAACAUUGUUUGUAGAUUCAAUCAACUCAAUUUAUUAAUGAUGGAUACUCGAUCGUAACGAUUGAUACGAUUGAUUUUGUCGAUUCAAUCAACUCAAAUCAAUACAUACGUGUUAUGACACAGACUCGAUCAUAACGAUCGAUAACGAUUGAACGUCAUAUGUCGAAUCAAUCAACUCAAUGUAUUUUUAUGAUGAAGACUCGAUCGUAACGAUCGAUACGAUCGAUAACGAUUGAACGUCAAAUGUCGAAUCAAUCAACUCAAUGUGUAAUGAUGAAGACUCGAUCGUAACGAUCGAUACGAUCGAUAACGAUUGAACGUCAAAUGUCGAAUCAAUCAACUCAAUGUGUUUUGAUGAAGGCUCGAUCGUAACGAUCGAUACGAUCGAUACGAUCGAUAACGAUUGAACGUCAUAUGUCGAAUCAAUCAACUCCAUGUAUUUUGAUA
rnacentral:lncRNA from 1 species